CUUUAAUCAGAAAAGGUGUAAUAGGGGUGGGGGGAACUAAAAGCCAGAUUAUGUCCCUAAAUAUUUUAGAUUCAACCACUUUUAUAAACCCGCUUUUCACUUUCAGGGAACUGCAAACAUGAUCCUCUGCUAAGCACUGGUGGAAGAGGAGACAUCCUAAAGAGAGAAUAGAAUAGUGUGCCCUUUCCUUCAGCUGUUACACUAUGCUUUGUGUAAUUAGGGACACUGGUCACUAUGCAUUGCUCCAAAGAAGAGGAGAGAAUUUCCACUCUUCACCUGCUAGGGGAAGAGGGCUGUGGACAAGAACUCAGGCCCAUGAAGGCAGCCAGUUUUGUAGCUUCAUCAUGCCCACCUUGAUUUCAGAAACUGGUGCACAUAACACAUUGUUUUGCCUGAUUCAGCGUUUUGAUUAAGCAGG
rnacentral:lncRNA from 1 species